UACGAAGGGGGCUAGCGUUGUUCGGAAUUACUGGGCGUAAAGCGCGCGUAGGCGGUGAUCUUUGUCAGAGGUGAAAUCCCGAGGCUCAACUUCGGAAUUGCCUUUGAAACGGGAUCGCUUGAGUCCGAGAGAGGAUGGCGGAAUUCCCAGUGUAGAGGUGAAAUUCGUAGAUAUUAGGAAGAACACCGGUGGCGAAGGCGGCCAUCUGGCUCGGUACUGACGCUCAGGCGCGAAAGCGUGGGGAGCAAACAGG
rnacentral:rRNA from 1 species